rnacentral:rRNA from 1 species
UACGGAGGGAGCUAGCGUUGCUCGGAAUCACUGGGCGUAAAGCGCACGUAGGCGGCUUUUUAAGUCAGAGGUGAAAUCCUGGAGCUCAACUCCAGAACUGCCUUUGAUACUGGAGAGCUUGAGUCCGGGAGAGGUGAGUGGAACUGCGAGUGUAGAGGUGAAAUUCGUAGAUAUUCGCAAGAACACCAGUGGCGAAGGCGGCUCACUGGCCCGGUACUGACGCUGAGGUGCGAAAGCGUGGGGAGCAAACAGG